rnacentral:lncRNA from 13 species
AGCCUAGUUCGCUGACAACUNNNNNNNNNNAAGGAGGAGGAGAACCACAGGGAAAGGAGAAAGGAGGAGGAGAACCUCAGGGAAAGGAGAAAGGAGGAGGAGAACCUCAGGGAAAGGAGAAAGUAGGAGAACCUCGUGGAAAGGAGAAAGGAGGAGGAGAACCACAGGGAAAGGAGAAAGGAGGAGGAGAACCACAGGUAAAGGAAAAAGGAGGAGACCCACAGGUAAAGGAGAAAGGAGGAGGAGAACCACAGGGAAAGGACGACAAGCGAAAGAAGUGCAGGAAAAGGGUGAGGCUCAGGGAGGGACACGGCAAAGGAGAGAGAGCAGAGUUGUUCCAGAGACUACCUGUGCUGUCUAAAUCUAAAACAGUUGCUCAAAAGCCUAGUUCGCUGACAACUUCCCCCAGUACCCAUGAAGAGCAAGUUCCUUCCAACUGUUCAGGGAUUGGAACCGGAACCAUUCUGCAACCCCCGCCGUCGGGUCAGCCACAGAACUCCAGUCCAAAAAGAUCUGGAGAGACCGAAUCAGACAGAGACCCAUUGAGACCCCCUGCUGUCAAGCGGACCCCCUCCAAGGGUCGGGCACCCACUGUGUGUCUCAAGAAGUUCCAAGAACUCCUGAAGCACAGGCACCAAAAGACGAGGAAGUCCACCAAAAGCAAGGAGACAAAAGAAAGUGAAACUGAAGUUCAGAAACAAAGUGAAAGAAAACUAUUGAAACCCAACGAAAGUGACAACGGUCAAAAUGAAUCAAGACUGAUGAACAAAAACACAAGUUCCUCCCAGUCUCUAGAAAGAGAGUCGGCCAUUAGACCAACCGUUGAUAAUGACGAUCAGACCAACCAAACAGAGAGCGACCAUCCAGAGGAAAAAGAUGGAGGACACGACAGCAGCACUUGUGGACAGGAGACGGAGUAUCAAGAUCUCAUCUACAAAGAGACUGAAAGAGAAAACGUUGAGGAUGGAGAACAUUUUGAGAACACAGAAAACGUUUUAGACGGGGAAAACGUGGAUGCGUCAGGAGACUUUUUCAAACUCCAAGAGGAGCUGGCUACCUUGUCAGUUUUAUCGAUGACAAGGACAAAGGAAAUGGUGGAUCCUCAUCGGAGCGACAAAGGCAACAAGGAAGGAAGAUAUCUGGUUUCCAAGGAGAACAGAGAGAGGGAAACAGACUCGUCUACAGAGACAAACAAGAAGACCGAAAAGGGAAAAGGAUCCGUGGUGGAGGCGUAUAGGAGAAGUGUGAUCAUCCGAGAGGUGGAGGAGAAAAUGGAGGAUGGGUAUUUGGAGAUGGAGAUCUCCAGCGAGGAGUUGGAUGUGGUUGAUGAGGUCCAGCAGACGUUGGGCUACGCCGGGGCUGAGGAAGUGAGUGGUGAAGAGGAGGAGAUAGAUGUAGAGGAGAUGGGUCCAACGAUGUAUCCUGAUGCAGCUUGGCAGGAGGUUCCCGGCGCCAGAGAAGUGGACCAAGCGAGUUCCACCAUGGCCAGCUUCAGAGGCAUCACCCACAACCACAUCCACCUCCCUCAGAAAAUCAAAAUGGUGACCGCUGCCCCCGAGAUGGCCGACGUGAGUAUUCCGACCCCUCUGGAGGCAGAGCCUUUCACGCUGACAUCACGAAGGGUCACCACGGGGUCAACAGGAAGCUGGGAGCCAGAGGAGGGAGAGGACGUGGAGGUGGACGUUCUUGAGUGGUCGCCGGAUGUGCGACCAAGAGUGUGGGGAGCGGGGCUUGAGCAAGGCGUCACAGAACUGACCGAGGAAGAAGAGAUAGACGUGAUGGGAGAGGAAACGGACUGA